CAACUAAGGGUGAUUUUGCCUCCCAGGGUACAUUUGGCAAUGUCUGAGGUCAUUUUCAAUUGUUACAGCUCGGAGAGUGCUGCUGACGUCUUGUGGGUAGAGGCCAGGGAUGCUGCGAAACACCCCAUCAUGCACAGGACAGCCACCCACCCCCCCCCGAAAUAAUUAUUCAACCCAAAAUGCUGUUGAGAGAAACCCUGCAUUAAACUUUGAAAAUAUCCAUCUUUCCCCCUCAUUUCUCCAUCAAUCUCACCCAGAAGCUAAGAGACCUGAUUCCAAAAUGAAGGGAAUAGAGCCUUGGGAGUCACGCAGCUAUAAAACAUGCUUUGUAUUUCUACACAAAUUAUUUUAUCACUGUAGGUCAUAGUGCCCUCUUCUGAAAGGUGGGGCUGGUGACCACCAACUGGAAUGUUGUGAGAAGGACUUAACUAAAAGGACUGCCCUCAGCUGACCCGCAGCUCCUAGAGGAAAGCCGUAUGGUGGCUAUCUCUUGAACAGUGGCUCGAUUCGGAAUCUCUUGCCAUCCCCUUACCCCCUUAUUCUACUGCCGUGAAGGAGAGAAACGUCUUUUGUCUUCUUUGUUAUGUGGGAAGCAGAAUUUCUCAGGGUACCUUUCUAUGCCUUUCCUUAAGUCUUCACCAUUGCUAUCAUCACCACCUUUUAAUUACUGACCUUUUUCUUCCUUUUUCCAGAAGUGCAUGUGGAACCUCAUAAGAAGCAGCUACAUGUGACCCUGGCUUACCACUUCCAAGCCAGCCACCUACCCACCCUAGAGAAACUGGCCCAGAACAUUGACGUCAAGCUAGGGUGUGACUGGGUGGCUACCAUAUUUUCUCGGGAUAUCCGAUUUGCUAACCAUGAGACAUUACAGGUCAUCUACCCCUAUACCCCACAAAAUGACGAUGAGCUAGAGCUGGUCCCCGGGGACUUCAUCUUCAUGUCUCCAAUGGAGCAGACCAGCACCAGCGAGGGUUGGAUCUAUGGCACGUCCUUAACCACCGGCUGCUCUGGACUCCUGCCUGAGAAUUACAUUACCAAGGCUGAUGAAUGCAGCACCUGGAUAUUUCAUGGUUCUUAUUCAAUCUUAAAUACAUCAUCGUCCAACUCUCUCACAUUUGGGGAUGGAGUAUUGGAGAGGCGGCCUUAUGAGGACCAGGGGCUCGGGG
rnacentral:sRNA from 1 species